rnacentral:rRNA from 1 species
GACGAACGCUGGCGGCGUGCUUAACACAUGCAAGUCGAACGGUGAAGCGCCUUCCUUUUUGGUGGGUGUGGAUGAGUGGCGAACGGGUGAGUAACACGUGAGUAACCUGCCCCCUUCUUCUGGAUAACCGCAUGAAAGUGUGGCUAAUACGGGAUAUUCUGGGUCUGUCGCAUGAUGGGUCUGGGAAAGAUAUUGUUUCGGUGGGGGAUGGGCUCGCGGCCUAUCAGCUUGUUGGUGGGGUGAUGGCCUACCAAGGCGGUGACGGGUAGCCGGCCUGAGAGGGUGGACGGUCACACUGGGACUGAGACCCGGCCCAGACUCCUACGGGAGGCAGACGUGGGGAAUAUUGCACAAUGGGCGCAAGCCUGAUGCAGCGACGCCGCGUGAGGGAUGGAGGCCUUCGGGUUGUGAACCUCUUUCGCCAGUGAAGCAGGCCUGCCUCGUUUGUGGGUGGGUUGACGGUAGCUGGAUAAGAAGCGCCGGCUAACUACGUG